AGAUGUGUCCCAACCUCUUAUGCCAUAAUAUGGAUGACCUUUUAUUAUUAAUGUCACGUUUUGAUCCAACAUUUCCGUGCAUGAUAAGAAGGAUUUCACUAUAUGAAUGAUCUAAAGACACUUUAUAUAGACACCAGAGUCAACUAUCUAAGAUUUAUAGGAUAAAAAAAAACACUUUAUUAUCAAAACUGAAACUAUAUCCCAAUCCAACAAGUUUCGAAAUAGAAAUUAAGUUCUUAGAAAAAUUUGGAACAUAAAAUGUAUCUUUUAAAUCCAAAUUGUGACCAGUGGAAAGAACUAAUCUAAAUGUUCCUACAAAUUCUAUUUUAAUUGGAUUUCGUUCAGCUAUAUAGAUAGUCGCUUCAUCUUUACUGGGUUUUUUUGCAUUUCUAAAAUCCCUGCAAGAAAUUCACCACGUGACAUGUGGCAUUAGAGUCAAUCCACCAAGUAUUAGACGGAACAAAAACUAAAUACAAUUCAUGCAUCAAAGCCAGAAAUUCACCAUUCUUCUGAAGCCAUUUCUGAUACUUUUGACAGUUCUUCUUCAUAUGACCUUUUUUCUUACAAAAGAAGUACUUGGGAGUUCAAUUACUUGAUUGGCCUUGUGAACCAGAUGUAACUUUCUUGUUCUUUCUUUUUGAGUCAUUCUUACCCUUCCCAUUCUUAGUACGCUUUAUUUGUCUCUUCUGAGAAACAAAGUUAACUGCAUUUUGUUUUUCUUGCAAUAAUCUGCCUUCCUCUUAUACACACAUUGUCAACAAUUCAUUAAUUAAUUAUUAUCUUUAUGUGUGUUAUAGGAAAUCUGAAAUGGUCCGUAUUCAGAUGGCAAAGAAUUCAAUAUAAGUGCACUAAGAAUGAAUUAGAGAUGGUUACUUCAAAUGCAGUGAGCU
rnacentral:lncRNA from 1 species